UAGAAUAAUUUACCGAAAGGAACUGCAUCCAGUGUGAUCGAUAAAACGCAUACAAAAUUGAUCUUAAAAAUAGGUCGACGCAGCAGAGUGGUGGAUAAGCGACUGUAAUUUGAUAAUUUCAUUGCGUUCGUGCAAAUCUUCAGAAAUGAGAAACACGAUGGUCUCCCGAUUAAUUUCCACGUACCAAUUCACUCGAUCUUUGAAUGAUUACACAAUCGGGAGAAAUCAAGUAUUACAACUUCGAGUGACUCUUCCGGAUCGGCUGAAUUGAUACACGCUGCAAAAUAUACACCCAGAUUUUUAUCCCGGACGGAAUCGAUGAUUGUGCGAUACAGUUUUUAAAUAGAUCUACACGGAACGGAACGGAAAAGCACGAGAGUCUUUAUGAACCGACCACUUCCACGGUACUCAGCGUCGAAGCAUAAUAGG